rnacentral:rRNA from 1 species
UACGAAGGGAGCUAGCGUUGUUCGGAAUCACUGGGCGUAAAGCGCACGUAGGCGGAUGUGUCAGUCAGGGGUGAAAUCCCGGAGCUCAACUUCGGAACUGCCUUUGAUACAGCACAUCUGGAGUCCGGAAGAGGUGGGUGGAAUUCCUAGUGUAGAGGUGAAAUUCGUAGAUAUUAGGAAGAACACCGGUGGCGAAGGCGGCCCACUGGUCCGGUACUGACGCUGAGGUGCGAAAGCGUGGGGAGCAAACAAG